UUCUGUCUCUUCAUGCUCCACUUGUUUUUUCUUCUUCUCUUUGUCUUUGUCCCUCUCUUUCCUCGGUGAAGGAAAAUUAAGACCAGAAAAGACAUUAGUAUCAAGGAAGAAAGGAGAGAGGGGAGAGGUAAAAGAAAA
rnacentral:ribozyme from 13 species